AGUGAACGCUGGCGGUAGGCCUAACACAUGCCAGUCGAACGGCAGCACAGUAAGAGCUUGCUCUUACGGGUGGCGAGUGGCGGACGGGUGAGGAAUACAUCGGAAUCUACUUUUUCGUGGGGGAUAACGUAGGGAAACUUACGCUAAUACCGCAUACGACCUACGGGUGAAAGCAGGGGAUCUUCGUACCUUGCGCGAUUGAAUGAGCCGAUGUCGGAUUAGCUAGUUGGCGGGGUAAAGGCCCACCAAGGCGACGAUCCGUAGCUGGUCUGAGAGGAUGAUCCGCCACACUGGAACUGAGACACGGUCCAGACUCCUACGGGAGGCAGCAGUGGGGAAUAUUGGACAAUGGGCGCAAGCCUGAUCCAGCCAUACCGCGUGGGUGAAGAAGGCCUUCGGGUUGUAAAGCCCUUUUGUUGGGAAAGAAAAGCAGCAGGUUAAUACCCCGCUGUUCUGACGGUACCCAAAGAAUAAGCACCGGCUAACUUCGUG
rnacentral:rRNA from 1 species